UCUCGGUUGGCGCAAUGGUUAGCGUUCUGGACUUUUAGGAAAUACUGAAAUCCAGGGGUUACGGGUUCGAGUCCCGUACCGGGAG
rfam:Colletotrichum gloeosporioides Nara gc5 unplaced genomic scaffold scaffold259, whole genome shotgun sequence.